CUGCACAGCUGAGGCAGAGCACUGGAUGGAGCUGUGAGUGGCUCAUCUGGGAGGCCCGGGGGAGGGUGGCUCCUGCCACUGUGUCGGAAGGGACCUGUAAGGGAUCUUACAGGUCCCUUCCGGAAUUGUAGAACCAGAAGGGACCUGUAAGAUCAUCAAGUUUGGUCCCCUGCUGUGGGCAGGAAGUUAUUGGGCUCAGACAUGCUCAACAAGGUGCCUGUCUAGCCUCCUCUUGAACACCUCCAACGAUGGUGACUUGCACCACCUCCGCUGGGAGUGUGUUCCAGAUUCUGGUGACCCUUACAUAGAAUAAGUUAUUCCUUAUAUCUAGCCUGAAUUUACCCUCUGUAAGCUUAUGUCCAUUGCUCCUCGUCCUCCCUUGAGAGGUCUUCCUGAAGAGUUGCUCACCUAAACCUUGGUGUUCACCCCAGUGUAUUUGUAGAUGGUUAUCAAGUCACCUCUCAGCCAACUCUUACUCAAAUGAGUCUCUCCUCGUAGGGCCUAUCCUCAAUGCUCUUGACGAUACGGGUAGCUCUUCUUUGUACCUUCUCAAGCUCAUCCAUGUCCUUCUUGAAGUGUGCCCAGAACUGGACACAGUACUCCAACUGAGGCCUCACUAGUGUUGAAUAGAGAAGGAGAAGCACUUCCCUGGAUCUAUUGGACAUACAUCAGCUGAUGCACACCAGAGUUAUACUUGCUUUCCUGGUGACCCUAUCACACUGCUGGCUCACAUUCAUCUUCUGGUCAAUUGUAACCCCCAGGUCUCGCUCAGAUGCUGCACCAGCCACCACCCAUUGUAUAGUUGUGGUGAUGGUUCUUUCUACCCAAACGAAGGACUUUGCACAUAUCCCUAUUUAACCUCAUCUGAUUUUGUUUUGCCCACGAGUCCAGCCUGUUAAGGUGAUCCUGGAUCUUGACCCUACCCUCCCGCGUGCCCGCAUUUCCCUACAGCUUGAUGUCAUCCGCAAGCUUAAUAAUUGAGCUUUCCACCCCCUCAUCCAAGUCGUUAAUGAAUAUAUUAAAGAGUAUGGGUCCAAGCACUGAUCCCUUGGGGGCACCACUGGAGACGGCCUUAUGGGAUGAGGCCAUCCCAUCAAUUACCACCCUCUGGAAGCAGCCUCUAAGACAAUUGCCAAUUGUGUGUGCCCCCCAGAUCUGCGCAUGGGGUGAGGGUGGGCUGCUGCUGCAGGCUGGGAGAUCUUUCCAGCGGGGGGCUGGGAUGGGACUGUGAUUGGAGCAAGCAUCAGUGGUGCUGGGUGGGAGCUACAGCCACUCCAAAAUUCCUUAUAGCCCCCCUCCCAGUGCCAGUGCCACUGCCACCGCCCUGAGCACAGCCCAGCCCAGCCCAGCCCAGCCCAGCUCCCCACCAGGAAGAGCCCAGCACUCCCUGGCCCCAGGCUGCAUCAGCCUGCUCUCACCCCACAUGCAGAUCCUGGGGUCCAUGCAGUGGCAGGAACUGCCACCACCUCCCCGCACCUCCUGGAUGAGCUGCAGCCCCAUCCCGCACCCUGCCUCAGUCCCUCCCUCCCUCAUCGUGGGGGCCUCAGUCUGCCUCCCCUCCCCCCCACACACACCCCUUCCCUCACAACAGACUUACCAGCUGGACCCAGCCACUUUCCACACUGCUGGGCUGCGUUGCUGGCCACCUGAAUGCUGCGCAGAUGCACAGGGCUUUUAUCAGCAACACUAUCAGCCACAUCAGCCAAAAAUAGCCAAUUGCUAAUACUGUCAAUUUUCCUUUUAUCUGUGCUGAUCUGUUAUGGGGCCAAAGUAUUAGUGCACCUCUACUAAUUUUCAGUAAUAUGUCUCUAUUUCUAUGUUAUAUAUAAUUCAAGUUUGAUUUUCAAGUCUGUAAAGAUCCCCUGGUGCUGCCAUAUUGAUCAUUUAUUAUACUUCCUAUCGUCUCUCUGUAUCAGGAUCAUCACCACUGUACCUUUAAUACUGUGUCUUCUAGUAGCUGCAAGGUCUCCAGAUAACUUUUUUGCUAUUGAAAUUCCUUCCAAUGUGACCUUACCUGCUAAUUCCCAGGUUGAAGUCUGGACCUUAGACACCUCAUUAAUGACCUCCAACCCCAUCUGUGUCAAGGUAGCAAUGGAGGACAGACCUGUCCUGGUUUGCAGACAACCCCCCAACCUCAAAAGAUGUCUCCCAAGCAACACACUAUCUAACUCCUAUUCUAACCAAGGCAACAGACCUACAUGCAACGUUGUGCCCCUUCAUCAAUACAAACCACAACAUCACUUGACAAAAUAGUAUGGAUUAUAAAAUCUGAGGUCUUUUCACCUGCACCUUUACCAACAUCAAGUAUACCAUCGGCUACUUACAGUGCCCCUCUGUUGUUUACAUUGGACAGGCAAAGCAAUCCCUGCAUGUAAGAAUGAAUGGACACCAAUCUGACAUCAGUUCCAGAAAGACAUGCAAACUUGUGGCAGACCACUUUAACCUCCCUGGACAUUCCAUCACUGACCUCAGAGCAGCUGUUCUUGGACAGCAAAACUUUUAAAAAUUAAUUUGGAAUAUUUAAAUUGCAAAACAAAAAAUCAUCCGCAGACUGGAUUGUGUUAAGUAUGGUCUAAACUGGAAGAACAGAUGCUUAUUCCAUUACAUGGAUUAACAUUUGUCACCCUUUAUCCCUAAGAAUUUAUUACUUUCCUAUUCUUGGCACAGCUCCCUCUCCUUUCCCUCCCUUUCCUGUUAUAUUCAAAUCACUCUAUUUGAUACACUUGUAUGUGUAUGGCUUCACAAAAUCUAAUUAAAUGAGCUCAGGUUCUCAAAAGUUCAUACUAUGCAUCUCUCAUUUAGUUUGUCUAUAAUGUGCAAAACUACCCUUUUAAAGUCCACUGCCAUUAUUCUGUUGCUUUCAUUACUUCCUUUCCUUAGCAUCCCAAUUGCUUUUGCCUAGAUUACCUUUUGUCUUCACAUUUUUAACCAAAUUCUCCCUAAAAAUGAGAUCCAGUUUGAAAAUAGUUUUAUUUCCUCAAUCUUCUAAAACAAAAAAAAAUUCUUAAUCACUCUUAGGCAUAUUGCCAUGUGCUAUUUUGUUUCGUGGUUGCAUUCUUCCAUUACCAUUAGGUUCUGUUCUUUGGGUACUUUCCUUAAUUUGUCAAAAAAUGCCUCCAGCACCUCUUCCUGAUUGGUUUAGUCUCUUAAUAGACCCUACUGUAAUUUCAGUCCUGUACAGUUGCCUUUUAUCUUCACCAUCACCUCUAUUUGGACUUAAGUACAAAUGCAUAUCUAUUACCCAAAGAACCUUGUCUGCCUAUCUAUUACUGAAAUAUAAUACACCAUAUAGUGUAUGUUUCUUGCCUGUCCUUUCUGAAAAAUCUGUUCCUUUUUAUACCUAUGAUUCCUAUCAAAUCUUUGAGAUGCCAAGUCAGUCACAGUUUUAGCUGGUAAAUAAAACUAGGUUCCUUCUAGUUAUUCCUCAUACUCUACUAUUUGUGCAUAGACAUCUUAAAUGUUAGGCAGUUUACCCCAUUUUUGCUUCUUGAAUCUCUUGUCAUCCUUUUGCAACUUCCUGUUCUCUCUCCAGAUCUCGGGCUUUGACCAAAUCUUUAUUUUUUCCCCAUCUGUAGGCUGUGUCAGUAUCCUUCAACCUAAUUUAAAAUUUUCCCUGCCAAGUUGAUGCAUCAGUGUUCCAGGAUACUUUUCCUUUCUUUGUCAGGUAAACUCACUUUCUUCCCAGCAGUCUUACUGUGGAGAACACCAUAGAAUGGUCAAGGAAACCAAAGCCUUCCUCUCAGCACCCUUCUGGCAGCCAAACAGUCAUUUCUAAAAUGUCUCUCUCCUGUAAUGACUUCAAUUACCCAAGUUUGAUUAAACCAUACUUUUCAUUCUUGACCUAAUAACUCCAAGAAAAUCAUCACUUGGUUUGGUAGAUUAUUCCAAAAGUCAAUUCCCACUGACAUUAAAAAUGUUGUUAUAUUUCUAACAUGCAUUUGUCUGAUUAACUUCCAAACAUGAAUUCUUCUUAGUUUUUUCUCUUCUAGCAUAAAGAGGUUGCUCAUACCAAAUAUUUUCUUUGCAAGAAAGUACUUCUACACUGUGAUCAGUUUACCCCUCAUUCUUCUUUUUCAUAAACUGAAUGAAGUAAGCUCUUGAAGUCACUGCAAGGUUUUUUUUCAGCCUGUUGAGUAUUUGUGACCUUGUUAGAUAUUUGAACGGUCUGUGUGUUCAUAAGAGUCUACAUUUGAACUUCUGUUUAUUAAAUCUGCUAAUGGCAGCUAACUAAUGGCAGGGAUGAAGUCAGGAAGGCCAAAGCACAACAGAAAUUGCAGCUAGCAAGGAACACGAAGGGUAACAAGAAGGGUUUCUACAAGAAUGUCAGCAACAAGAGGAGGAUCAGAGAAGCUGUGGGCCUUUUACUGAAUGGGGAAGCCAGCUGAAUGACAGAGAAUGCAGAAAAGGCUGAAGUACUCAAUGGCCUUUUCACCUCAGUCUUCACAGGCAAAGUCAGCUUCCAGACUCCUGCACCUGGCAGCAGUUUGGGGAGGAGGUAAGCAGUCAACAGUGGCAAAAGAACAGGUUAAGGACUAUUUAGAAAAGCUGGACCUGUACAAGUCCUUGGGGUCAGAUGGGAACCAAGGGUGCUGAGGAGUUGGUUGAUGUGAUUGCAGAGCUGCUGGCCAUCAUCUUUGAAAACUGGUGACUGAGAGAGUUCCUGGGUGAUGGGAAAAGGGCAAAUAUAGGAGGAUCCAGGAAACUCCAGACUGGUCAGCUUCACAUCAGUCCCUGGAAAAAUCAUGGAGUGGAUCCUCAAGGAAUCUAUCUCUAAGCACAUGGAGGAGAAAAGGUGAUUGAGAACAGACAGAAUGGAUUUGAUAAGGGCAGGUCAUGCUUGACCAACCUGAUUGCCUUCUAUGAUGAGAUGACUAGAUCCAUGGAUGCAGGAAGAGCAAUGGACUUGACUAUAGCGAGGCUUUUGAUAUGGUCUCCCACAACAUUCUCACAAGCAAGCUAAGGAAGUAUGGGUUGAAUUAAUGGAUAGAAAACUGACUGGAUCAUUGGGCUCAGGGGGUCCCUUCCAACCCUAAUUAUCUAUGAUUCUAACUCAUAGUUUUAUUUUGUCUACAAUAUAUUCUGUGCUGUUGAGCAUGGCAGCAGUCUUACCUGUGACUUGAAUCUAAUUAUGUCUGGCUAUGCUCGGAUACUCUACACCCUCUGCAAUUUUUAAAAUAUAUAUAGUAGGCUUAGAUAGUGGUCUAAUAGUAGUGUUAUUAAUGUUAUAUCAUAGUUAAAUCACCUAUUUUACUUCUAAUCAAUGUUCUUUUUAUUUACAUAUCCAAGGGCCACCCUAUCCUCUCUUUUUGCCACAGAUUCCAUUCAGCUUUAUUAUCAUGGCUCAGGGCUCUGUAUGAAUCUGACUGAGAUGCACAAGGCAAAAUUUGACCCCCUGUAGCCAUUUAUCAAUUAAUUAAGAGUCCCAGGUACUCAAAGAUAUCUAGGAGUUUACUUCUGUGGACAUUAGGGACCUAAAUAGCUUUAAGGAUUUGGAUCACAGGCUUUUGAUUGUUUUUCAUACUGUUCUGUAGAUUUCAAAAUGGUCAGUCCAUUUCUUUUUGUACUCAAAAGAUUUUUUUUUUUAUUGUUGGCAAAGAUUUAAUGACUACUCUAGGUUGCAACAAUUAACUAUUGGACCCUGGACAUUUUAUUAAUUAUGAGAUUAGAACAUAUCCAUUUAUAACUGAACAAACUAUGGUUAUAUUAACUUAUGUCAUCAAUUGCAAGGUAGAAAACAGAAAGAGAGUGCCCAUAUUAGAUCAUAUCAAAGCUUUAGCUUAAAUGCACAUCACUGUUUAGGAUACAGUUUUAAAAUGCUAUUCUCUGGACUUGACUGUAUUUCUGUUAAGCAAGCUCUUUUUGUUUUAAUGUGGCUAGUAGGGAAUUAAAAUUUGCUGCACAUGAUGACAUGAACGGUUUGAAUAAUGAGCUAUGAAGAAAUGUACUGAAAUCUAUAGUGAUAUUAGUGUCUAGAACAUUUUUAGACUUUUGAUGGAAAGCAUACAAUACUCAAACAAAAUUCAAAGGCCUACACGUUCAAAAGUGGCUUCUAAUUUUGGUCUUAAGCAGAACCAUAGCAUGGGCAGUGCCAGCACUCAGUGUCCCUGCACCACCUCGGGUGCCAAACUAGCAUACUUGGGGCAAUACAAAAGUAGCUGCUGCUGGCAGCCAUACAAUCACAAUUGCAAUCACAGCAGCAACCAGAAGUUGCCUGUGCUCUUCUGCACUGGGUGCCUGGCUGCAUCCCUCCACUGCUCAUCUUCAGUAUGUGGGUUCUCGACAAUCUAGCGCUUCUGUAUUGUUUCUCAGAUGUGCUAAACAUGUGCAGCUCCCCUAACUACAGUUGGUGCUAAUGGUUCUUAAACCUCCCAAAAUCAAGGUGCACUUUUGUAGUCCUUGCUUGGGCUGCUCCAUAAAAGUGGAAACCACAUGCAAGUAUCCUGCUGGAUAUUCUCCCAAGGAUGUGGGAAUUCACAAUGAUGCUAGUAACUUAUGGUCCCCUGUGUCCAAUAACCAAUUGUUGCAACCUAGAGUAGGCAUUAAAUCUUUGCCAAAACUGGAAUAGUGAUUAAGGCAGCUCUUCAUCUAAGAAAAGCUUCUGCAGAAUUUGCCCAGACUUCCAAGAAAUGAGAAACACUGACACUUGGUAACUAAUCCAACAGAGAAAUCAUUACAAGAAUCAUUUCAAAUUGGAGGUCAAAUGUGUCACUAAUUCAAGGUCCUGAUAGAAUUAAUUGGAAUGAGGUUUAUCCAGUUGUAAUGGAUUUUAAAUUGGCAGAAACUGCCAUUUAGCAAUGAUAAUAGAAAGUGUCUUGAGUUAUUUUGUUUUUAGAAUAUGAGCUAUGUUGGUGUUUAACUUGUUCAUGUUUUAAUCUACCAUGCAAUUCAUGUUGGAAACAAUGCAAUGUUUGUUUUAUGAACAGGACAGUUUCUUGAGAAAUGCAUUCUUUGUGUCCACAACUGGUUUUAUCAUCAGAGUAUGGUGUACAAGUGAACAAACCUUAUUGAGCUUCCAUACACUGUGAAAUCAUAACUUGCACAGAUAAGUACAUUGAGCAAACCAAUUGACACCAAUGGUGUGAGCAGUGUAAAUAGAAGUUAUGCAACCAGGUCCUUGGAAGUUAGGGAACAGUGCUCCUUGCAAUACCCAGAAGAAAGAAGGGAAAUCAACCAUUAAUGGUAAUUGAUGGCAUAUAAAAAAGAUUAAAAUAGCAAUAUAGCAAAGAAGCAUUCAUGCUGGAGACAAUGCUCCCACUUUUCCAUCUUCUGUUGUCAUUGUGAGAUUUCAAAGUACUGAGAUCCUAGCAACAGACUCUUCAUCCAUUUGGGGCAGUCCUGGGUGAUAGUCUUCCAUGAGUUGAUGUUGAUGUUGCAUUUUUUUCAAGUUGGCCUUGAGGAUGUCUUUGAAGCACUUUCUCUGCCCUCCUCUUGAGCAUAUACCUUGACUGAGCUGGGUGUCCAGAGUCAGAUAUCCAGCUGACUUAGCUAGCCCAGCAACAUUGGUAUUGGAUGAUCAUUGCUUCAAUGCUCAUGAUGUUUGCUUGCGAGAGGAUGCUAAUGUUGGUGCAUCUGUCUUCCCACUGGAUUUGAAGGAUCUUCUGCAGGCAGCAUUGAUGGUACUUCUCCAAUGAUUUGAGAUGUCUCCUGUAUGUUCUCCAUGUCUCAUCUGUACAGUUAGGCAGGGAUCAGGACUGCUUGAUAAACCAUGAAUUUGGUUUUGAAUCUGAUGUUGCAAUCUUCAAACACCCAUUUCCUCAGGUGUCUGAAGGCUACACUUGCACAGUUGAGGCAAUGUUGGAUUUUUUCAUUGAUGUCAUCCUUCUGUGAGAGAUGGCUUCUGAGGUAUAGGAAAUACCCAGUAUUCCCCAGGGUCUCACCAUAAAUCUGAAUUGCUGGAGCUGGGGACUGCUCGUUAAGAGCUUGUUGUUGGGGAACCUUAGUCUUCUGAAUGUUAAGCAUCAGUCCCAUUUUUGUAUGCCUCAGCAAAGACGUCAACAAUUGCCUCAAGAUCUACUUCUGAGUGAACACAACUACAGCAUCACCAGCUCAAUGACUGAGGUCAGGGUAGUCUUGGCUUUGACCCGGAGUUGGCUGAGAUUAAACAGUUUACCAUCCACUUAGUAGUUUAGCUCCACUCCAACUGGAAGCCGGGUGGUCAGAUGUAGCAUUGCAGUAAGGAAUAUUGAGAUGAGUGGUGGAGCGAUAAUGCAGCCUUGCUUAAUUCCAGUCUUAAAGUCAAGGGGAUCUUGAUUCUGUCAGCUGAGAAGUACUGUGGACAAUUGGUCUGAGGUACAAAUGUCCACUGAAAUUCAUCAUUAUUCUUUGUCUGCACCAUGAUGAUACGUGAGCAGUAGUUCUCAGUAAUAAAGGUAACCUGCGAGUGUUAGGAUAGGUGCUAGUCAUAUUACUAGAAGAAUGUCUGGAAGGCACUUAGUGUGAUGGUGGCAUUAUAUGAAUUGAACAGAACAGAACAGCAUAUAAAGACAUUAAAUAUGGCUGAAAGCAUGUGUCAAAAAUCAAAAGACAGAAAAAGACUACUACAAACUGUAAGAAAACUUGUGUUCGUGUCAGCUAAAUUCAUAGGCCCAGAUCCUAUUCCACCUCUAAGAUAUGUAAGUAGCAUUUCGAUUCCUUUUAGGUAUGUUUGUCACUAAACCUAGUUACAUUCCACCCGAGAUGCCUGCUGGAAUUUUACUGAAACUCUUAGAUUUCUUACUUUUCUCCAUCUUGAUCUAGAAAAGUUCCUAAGUGACUAGAUUCAAGCUACUCUGAAUUUAUAGAAACAAUUCAGAGCACCCAUAUAGGCAUCUAACUCCUUCUCAACUCCUGAGUACAGUUCUGCCUGCGAAAAUGUACAGACUCCGUGAACAUCCUCAAAUCUGUAGUUUGAGAAAAAGCUUGUGCAGCAGCUAUAUUUGGCAACAGUAGCAGGAGGAGCUUUCACCAAAAAUCCUUAUUAAGCAACUUGCCCAGAAAAUAUGACACCUAAUGAAUUCUACCUCUUCCUGAGGAGGCUUAAACCUACAUCUCCCUCUUCCCAGGAAAAUGCCUUGACCACCAGACUACCAGGUAUGUAGCACUGAGGGCAUUUUCCAUCUGUCUAGUUGAAGGUGGACCGUUGGGUAACGAAGAAUACAAGAUACAUGGGGCUAUAAAAGUAAGGAAGAGAGACCAUGGUACUGCCCCGGGAGGUAGAGAACCCUGGAUUCUGGCUCCUGCACUCAGCACCUGAUAGUGUUUCUGAAUUUUAUCUAAUGACGUAUCCAAUAUUGGAAGCAGGAGGGGUUGAAGAAUUCUUUUAGCCUAACAUAGCUCAUAGCCUGAUAGGACACUUGCCUGGGAAAUGGGAAGCUAUAACCUGCCCUAAGAAAGCAGAGUGUGUAUGAGGGCAAAUUGGGGUAGUUAUUUGUAAUAAUGAGUCAUGACCCAUAGGUCCUUUUCGGAAUUGUUGCAUUCCAAAACUGUCUUUGAUCCUGGAUUCUUGGUUCUCACUUUGUACCGGGGCAAUAGGCCAAGGCAUUUUAUUGGACUAUUACCCUUUAACCAAUAAGUGGGGUCCGUCAGGCUUAUCUGGUGCUGGAGAAGAAAGACUUGAUUUUGCAGCUGGCUACUGCCCAAUUGCAAAACAAACCUCACUGUAGCUGAAGUUAAAAGAAACUAGAGGCGGUUAUGCAGUCAUUAAGCUGACGGUAAAUUGAGCUGAGGAGGCAAUGCAGAGUUAGUUAGCCUAACUGCUUACUGACUUAAAUAACUAAAAUUUUUAUCAAGAUGUCAUGGCAGCAGCUAGGGCAGGGUUGUACCUUAGGUACCACAUGAUGCAAAAUUAAAUGCCUUGAGAAAUCCAGGUAUGCUAUUCAGCAGUUGCCCAUAUUGACCAGAACUAUACUUUUUUUUUUUUAAGUAAAUAUUUUUUUACAAGUCUACUUUCCUUAAAGUCACAUUCACUGCCAUUUUAACCUGUGAUUCUUGUGAUAGAGUAAUAAAUUAAAUAUUACAUUAUUUAUUGAGAUUUGACUUCAGUCUAGCUAGUCUAUAGGCUCCUGGGUCAUUCCCUUUUUAACCGUUGUACAUAUUGGAAUUACAUUGACUAUUCUUUGGUCCUUUGGAUAUUCUCCAGUUUUUUGAGAUUUAUAAAAAAUUAAUAUACAUUGUAUAGAAAUUUCCUCUGACAUUUCCUUGAUCUAAGUUACCUGGGUCUGCUGAUUAGCUGGGUUACCUGACCCUGCUUCACAAAUACCUUUAUUAUAGGUGGACAAGGUUCUUUGGGUGAAUCUGAUAUCUUUUAUUAGACCAAAUUAAGUAGUUGGAAAAAAAAAAGCAAGAAACCCUUUGUCAAGCUGAGGAAGUUACAGCAGUUGGUGUGUGCUCUUCCUGGAUGGAAUGAAAAGUAAAGAAGCCAGAGGCUGGGCUGGUAUGCAUACAAGAUAGGUAGUCAGUGAAGAUGUAGAUUGAGGAGUCAGUGGGUAAGAGACAGGCUGGGUGGGAAGGAGAGAAGGGGGCUGAAUAGUGGAGAGGUACCUGGGAAGUCAGAUGUCAGGCAGGUUAUAAUGUAUCAUAAAUCCAAUAUCUAUAUUUAGUCCAUGCUUUUUAGUAUCCAGGAGGUUGAUGAAGUGGAGUUCCUAGGCUCAUCUCUGGGAAGUGUUUUUAAGUUUCCUUUGAGGAUUAGAACUGAGAGAUUGGAGAAAGAGUGGUUUUCUUGUGAGAAAUGUGCCCCCACUGGUAAUUGGGUAUUCUUGUCUUUGAUCAAUAUCCAGUGUGCGUUCAUUUUGGUGCAGAGUUGCUGUUUGGUCUCUCCUAUGUAUUUUCCAUCAGGGCAUUUGGUGCAUUGGAUGAGAUAUAGCACAUUUCUGGAGGUGCAGCUCUAAGGUCCGGGAAUGCUGAUGUCUCUGUUGUGGGGUGUAGUAAUAGCGGGGGUGGUAGAGAUGUCUUGGCAGGUUUUGCAUUUCUUGUCAUGGCAUGGUCUGGAUCCAUUUGGUGUGUUCUGGGCCUGAUGAAGUUUGCUUCUGGUGAUGAGGUUAACGAGGUUCGGUGCUUAUUUGAAGGCUAAGAUGGGUGGCUCUGGGAAGAUCUCUUUAAGAGUAGGGUCUCUUUCUAGUAUGGGUUGCAAUUGUUUGAAAAUGUUCUGUAUGGAUUGAAGGGAGGGGUGAUAUAUCAUAACCAGAGGUGUGCGAUUUGUGAGGGAGGGUUCUUCUGUACUGCAGGAGUUCUUCACAUGGUAUCUGGGUGGCUCUUUCAAACAUGUGGUCUAUCUCUCUGGAGGAGUGUCCUUGUUGGGUGAAAGCCUUUUUAAGAUUGGUGAGGUGGCAAUCCCAGGUGUUCUCUUCAGUGCAAAUUCAGUGGUAUCUGAGGGCUUGGCUGUAUAUCACAGCUUUUUUGGUGUGUUUAGGGUGAUUGCUGGUUCUGUGCAGAUAUGUAUGUUGCUCUGUGGGUUUCUUGUAUAACGUGGUCUGUAUUUUAUCAUUCUGGAUACUGAUCAUCAUGUCUAAGGAGGAGACAUUGGUGCUGGAGUAUUCAAGAGAUAGUCGGAUGGAGGGAUGGUGCUUGUUGAAUUUCUGAUGGAACUCAAUCAGAGAUUGCAGGUUUUCAGUCCAAAUGAUGAAGAUGUCAUCGAUAUAUCUUAAAUAUAGCAAGGGUUUGAUGGUGCAGUUCUUGAGGAAGUCUUUGUCCACGUGGCUCCUAAAAAGGUUGCCAUACUGUGAGGCCAUUUUAGUACCCAUAGCUGUUCCCAUCGUCUGGAGGAAGUGUUGAUUAUUAAAAGUGAAAUUGUUGUGUGUGAGGAUGAAGUGUAUAAGGUCAGUAAUAUCUUUGGGUCUGUACUCUGAGUUCUAAUCUUGUUCCUAUAGAUAUGUAUGGCAGGCUUGGAUGCCAUCCUGGUGUGGGAUGGUGGUAUAUAGCCUGGUAAUGUCCAUGGUGGUCAGGAGGGCAUUGCUGGGAAGAUGGUCUAUGUUUUUAAGUUUCUGUAGAAAGUCUUUGGUGUCUUGGACCAAACUUGCUCUGUGGGUGAUAAGCGGUUUUAGGAUGGAUUCAACAAAACCUGAUAUUUCCUCAGUUAGGGUCCCAUGGUUGGCUAUUAUAGGUCUGCCAGAGUUCCCUUGUUUGUGGAUUUUAGGGAGCAUGUAAAAAGUCCCCGGGUUGGGUAGAGGGGGGAUCAAGGUCUGUAGUUUUUCUUGUAGUCCUGAUGGAAAUGAUUUGAUGGUAUUGUUGAGUUUUGUGGUGAAAAGGGGAGUAGGAUCUUCUUGUAGUUCUUUGUAGUAGGUGGUGUCAGAGAGCUGUCUAUUGGCUUCCUGUAUGUAGUCUUCACGGUUUAGGAUGACUAUGGCUUCUCCUUUAUCUGCUGGUUUUAUUACUAUUUGGUGGUUAAAUCUUAGACAUUUAUUAUAGGUGGUGAGCCUUGUAUUCCAUGUACAACAUAAUACAGAAAGGAAGUAUUCUGCUGUUUUGUUCCAGAUACAGAACAUAAAUGUCUAUUAAAUAACUCCUGCCUUUUCUGCAUAAUUUCUUAGGAUUUUACUAUUUGUAUUUAACAGUGGACUUGUGCCUAGCCUAGAGUUCCUAUGGUUUUUAAUGUUUUUAAAAUGCUUUUGUAUCAGCUUAACCCUGUUCAGCAUUCAUAUUUCUUUGCUUCUUCGAGUGCCCCUUACAACUGCCUACACUUAAAGAAUUGUAAUUUCUAUUCAUUCUAAUAAUACUGCGUAUUUCCAUUUUUCUAUAUGUUGGAUUUAUUGUGUUGUUCCUGCUUCUUCUUCUAAUCAAGAUGUUCUGGACCAGCCUUACUUUUUUCAUGUAUAUGGAUUUUUAGUUUUUUGUGAAUCGGGGUUUUCGGGAUUUUCGUGUCAUUGAAUAAAACUCACUUUUUCGUUAAUACUUCUCACAUUAAAUUUAAUACUUCUAGUCAGUAAUACUGACAACUGAUUUAAGCUUUCAGAAACUGGUCAUUUUUAAAGUUCUAAAAAUAAAAACAAUUAAAAAGUAAAUGUAAUGACAUCCUAAUCACUAAUACCCAGGCAGCUGCUAACUUUCAGGUCACUGAUUACAGGUGACCCUUGCCAUUUGUGGGGGAUAUGUUCUUGAGAUCCCUGCGAAUGGCAAAAUCCACGAAUACGGCACUACGUUCAUGAACAUCAUGAAUGCAGUGCCCCUGGUGGCUGGGGGGUGCAGGGGAGGGAGAGUGCAGCUGUGCUGGUGACGGCAAGAGCCCAGAGGUGACGGCAGGAGUCCAGCAGCGGCAAGCGUGGAGCUCCUGUAAGUGUAUUUAAGAUGCGUGUAUUUAAGAUUUCAGUACUUGUGAAUAUUUGAAACUGCGAAUGCUGAACCUGUAAAUAGCAAAGGUUUCCUAUAUUUGUGUUUUACCCAUAUUAGUACAGGUUUUUCUGUGUUAAGAAUUAUAAUUAUUUUAGAAACUGUAGGUAAAUAAGUACUUGCUACAUGAGAUGUUCAGCAACUCUCAACAGGUAGAUGUUACCCAUAUAAACAAUUUUAAUUCCUGCUACCCAUUACAAAUAGAUACUUAGUCACGAAUCAUUAAGCUUUAUACAUAUUUUGUCUUUUUGGGCUCUGAUUCUGCAAGUGUGCUCAAAUGAUGUGGAGAAGCUUGCAAGAUUGAAGUCAGUAAAUUCUUUGGAAAAGGACCUAGCUACAAAUGGACCUGGCACAGUGCGGUGUGGUACAAACAGUAAAUAAUGUUUAAAGGAUCUCUGAGGAUGUGACCACACUGCCUGUGCAGCACUCUCAAAAGUGCUGCUGAAAACUAAGUUUCAGUUACUUGCUCCUGCACCGCAUGCCUCAAACCCAGAACAGUGACAAUAAGGACUCUCCAGGGACAAGCCUUUGCUGCUCAACAGAGUAGAUCUUGGAACAGCAGCAGGUGCCACCUUUACAGCCCCAGUUCCAGCUGCAGACCAUGUAAGUUGUGUGAAAGCUUUUGGUGAAAGCCUUUGAAUUUGGCUUGGAAUGUGUAAACUGCAGUAAAACAAAUGGAAAAUUCUGAAUGGAUCAGUCUAGUAUAAAGUGACAGGCUUAAAUGAAAAUUAGUGAUGUUGAGAGAAUUCAUCAGAGUUUAGAGAGGCAUCCCAACCAACACAUCAAUUUUUAUAGAAACAUACCACAGCACCCAAUACUAAACUUGUAAUGUUUGGGUCAGCAUUUAAAGGAAAGCAACACUAAAACAACUUCAUUUGGCACCUGGAAUUUCUUUGGGUCUAACCCAGCCUGAACCAGAGUACUACUGUUUAUGAAACAGCAGCCUGAGGCUAUUGAAUUGCUGGUAGAAAUUCACAAACUGUCAUAAAAUGGAAUUAACAAAGUAACCAAUGUUCUACUGCAGGAAUGAGGAAAUAAGAUUGUUGGCUACCAAAGGUAUCAGUGUUAUUGGUAAUAGAAAAAAAAAACCUAAAUGCAUUUUCUUUUUAUAUCAGUCUUUUUUGUUUGUUUUGCUCAUUGGAAAAGUGUUUCCUAAAGUCUUUAAAAUAAUAAGAGAAGGGCUCCAAUUACUUGGUUGUCCACGUUCCACCACAAAUUAAGAUAAAAAUAACUAAAGUAGUUUUAACUGAACAACAGGAUAAAUUAGCUUACAUGGGACUCCACAUUAUUGUGAUGAGCCUGCAUCCAGGACUUGGGCUAGCUCAGGUUACCUCAGUGUUCAGUGGGUACCUUCUACCAGUAUGAUUUUUAUUACUAGUCAUGUAGGAUGAUGUGUUAAAUAGGCCAACCCCUUUGUAUAGUAUGACCACAACAUAAAAGAAAUUUUGCUUUAAUGCUGACCCUUUCCCUUCCCCACAUUUAGAAAUGCUAGAAAGCAACAAUGUUCCUUCCCAGAAAUCAGAAGCACAAAGGCUAGGUACAGACAGUCAAAAAGCCUGAGGCUGAAUUGAUUCAGUCUUUGCAAGUUAGUCUACAAUGCAGAGAUUAAAUUGAAACAGAAGUGAACAGACAGCAAAUGCAGCCACAUGCCUGCAGUGGCUCAGGCCAGAAGCCAGGGGGAGGUAGAGCAUGACUCUCUGGCUAUGUGUUUACUUCCUCUUUCUGCUGCCCCUGAGGUCUCUGAGGUUUGCAGGCCAGAACAACAGCAUUAGAACUCUGCAGAGUUGUUCAUCACUUCCUCUUCCUGCUUCCAGGUGCCUCUGGGAUUUGUAGUCCACAGUUGCAGCCAGCAGUAAGUUUGAGUGGGGGAAGGGGUGUUUAAUGCCCCCUUCCUGGCCCCAGACCCCAGCUGGGGUUUGCCUGUAGGGGGAGGGGGAAGUACUCCAACUAUAGACUGGGUUCCAUCCCCAGUUCAUCUUGCCCCCUGCCCCAUGUCAGCCAGCCCUCACUGCUCGAGCAGACAGCCCAGCCCAGGGUGGGAAAGCAUGCUAGAUGCUGCAGGACUGUGAUUUAACUUGAACCAGGAAGGGGUCUGGGACAGAAGUUUCAUAAACCGGUUUGGCCCAAAUCAGUUAAGUCUGAUACUACAUUCAACCAGGUUUAUCUUAAACCAGUUUCAGUCAUUUUGAAACCAGUUUAUGCACACUAAACUUCUGUUCUGUUACAGGUUUAAAUCAAUUUCUGAUUGCUUAAACCUGUUUAUGUACAACUUCUGUCCCUAAUAGUUUAUCCUCUACUGAUUACCAUAAGUUCCUUAUCCAAACUGGACGUUUCUGUCUUGUACACAGUAAAGCAAUCCCACUAAAGCAAAACCCAUUUUUUUGUUUAAUGAGUUUUUAUUCUAUUUAUUUUUUUUAAUAUGGGCAAAGAAGUAGGCAUUGGGUGUAAACUAUGGAUGAAUAGCAAUAGCAGUAGCAUCCAUGUACAGUCAAUGACCUGUUUUCUGGCAUGAGUGGGGAAUGGGGUGUGCCAGUAAUCUCAAAAUGCCAGUUACCUGAGGCACAGCAGUUUCUGGCCAGAUGCGGAGCAGAGGGGGUGGGGGGUGACAGUGGCCACACAAGGAGCGGCAGCAGCGCAGGGUGGUGGGUGGUGGCAGCAGUCACUGUGUGCGAGCUUUCCCUGCUCCUCUCCCCUCCAUCUGGCCAGCCGGAUGGCCGGAAAUUCCAGUUAAUAGAAAUGCUGGUUAGUAAAAUGCUGGAUAACAGGGCUUUUACUGUAUUGACGUAUUAUUAAAAGAGAGACCACUCUAAAACAGAAAUGUAAUCAUUUGGUAAGUGUUCAGUAUUUUAGAAAUGUCAUCUCUUCUUCACAUAAUGUUCUUUAUUGUCAGGUUUUUUUACCAGCAACCAAACCACUUCACUUCCCCUCCCUCACCCCACUCCCCAACAACCUUACUGUGUCAUUGCAGUGAUGUGCCUUGACCUUACUGUGAAUUAUGUUGUUUCAGGGGUGAAGGUGUUGCAGUCCAAUGAUGGUCAAGCCAAAGAAAAUCAAAAUGUGGUUUGUUAAGAAAUAACUUUUCAAAACCCAAAAGGGGCUUAUUUGGUCAAUAAAACUUUCCUCUCUACCACCUUUGGACACAGCUUGCACACAUUUCCAUUGUUCUGUGUUAAUAAUACAUAGGCAUGUUAUAUAAUAAAGAAUGUGUUGAAUUGAUUGUUCCUAAUCCAGGAAUUGCAAGAUGAGCAUGACCUGAGAAGCAGGUCAGACUAGAUCAUCCCACAGGGCUCUUCUGUACUUAAAACCUCUGAAUCUUUAUUCUCUGAACAUAGACAUACAGAAGUCAUUAUGAUUUGACCAGCUUCUAAACUUUUGUAUAGAUUUGCUCUGUACUAUUUUAACAGUUGCCAUUAUUAACCUCCUCCUUGCUGCCAUGUAUUUGCGUGUAGCUUUUCCAGUCUGUUGUUCUUUUAUGAAGCCCAGUGUAAAAGUUAGAUCAUUAUUAUUGAUGAUACAGAUGUUAGUUAUUUAAAUAAAGGUCAGACAACAUCUUUGUAAUCUUUGUUAUGUGAGACUGGGCACCUAAGACCAUAUUUGAGCCCCUGAAUAAAUGUCACCUGAUUUUUCAGAGUUGAUGAACACUUUUGCCUCCAACUGAUUUCAGUGAUAGUACAGAAGAGACUCAAGAAGAGAGCUGUGACCCCAAAUCCAGCCCCAGACUUGGGGGAAUCAGUGGAGCUGGAGCUGUGAUUCUCGAACAGGGUGCUGUGAACCAUCAAAGGUUGCCACGAUCCCCAGCCUCUGUGAUGUGAGAGGAGGUACGUCCAAGAGCGACUUCCACUGCCUUUAGAUACUCCAGUCUACAAGUUCCAAAUUGGAGACGAAGUUUUGGUCCGAACGUGGAAGGACGAGCCUCUUCAACCCAAGUGGAAGGGACCGUAUCCCGUAAUCCUCGCCACUCAUGCAGCGGUAAAGGUCCAGGGGGUAAAGCCGUGGAUCCACUAUACCAGGGUAAAGGCCGCACCGGAAGUUCCUUCUGAGGGAGCAGUUGCUGAGAGUGUCGCACCGGAAGCCGACACAAACGGACAUCGUUGGACAGUGGAACCUGUGGAAGGACUUAAAUUCUUGUUUAAACGUCAGCCAUGUGGAAAGUAGUUCUUUACCUAAGUCUAGCAUUUCUAGGGUCGGAGGGAUUGUUACACCGAAAGUUUGAGAAAAACCAAAAUGUGUGGAUUUACUUGGCAAAAGAAGUGGUGAACACAACUCAUUUCUGUUUGGCUGGUGGAACGUCAGUUGAAGAUGUGUUUACCUCAUGCCUCAUAGGGGUGCCCACUCCAUUAGAAACGCUCAAAAGUCAGACUUGGCUAAAAAACUUCGACCUUUCCGGGCUUAAUCUCUGGAAUACGGCCUAUGUGUGGGGACCUAUUACUCAGAAAAGAAACGUUAGUACCUUUUCAAUAGAUUUGCUGGCCGUAGCCUCACCUAGUAACACCAGUUGUGCUCAAUUUGUAAAUUGUACCACAGCUUUGGGCACUCAAGUCCCUGGAGGAGCAGUGGUAGGGGCCAUGCUCACCCUCUCAGGAAGAGAUGGGGUCAGGGAAGCAGCUAGUAGUGGAAAAAGCAGGGCAAAGCAGGGUUCUGUCCCCACCAUCCUCACUGGGUACCAGCCUCUGCACCAGUGGCCACUGUCACCUCUUUUGCCUCCUUCAGGGAUGGCUGCCUUCCUCAGGUGUCUAAUGCCCUAACCGCAGGUUCCUCAAUCUGCAACCCCUGCCUCCCCAAGCAGCAUAUGCUGUCACCAUGCACCAGGCCUCACCAUGCUCUCCAGAGUGCCCUUAGCACCCUCUGAGAUUCUUUUAAGGGUGCAUGCAGGUAAACACUAUAAGAAAUUAAUUCAUCCUUAAAUGGACUGUGACAAAAUUCCAAAAAGUUAUGGAUGGGUACCUCUAAAAAGGGUUAAGAAUCAUUGAGCAGAUGAAAUUUCUUUGACCAUUGAUUCUGGCUGGAACAAGGGCUUUGUUUGAUCACUAUCUGAUACGUGUCUGCAGCCGUUGUGGCUCUGCCCUUCUUGCCUGCCUGUUGUUUUUUUUGUUUUUUGUUUUUUCUCCGUGUUUUAUUAGUCUUCCAUCUCUGUUGGACCAUCAAACCCUAUGGUAAACCUGCCACUUCUUUCGACAAUGAGGGCUAUAUUCUUAAUUAAAUUCAGUCCUUGGAGAUAGUGAUCCUCCUUGUACACAGUUUUCUAUUCAAACAAAGCCAGACUGCUGCAGUAUAUGUAUAAGCUUUAAUACUUAGGAAGUAUACAAAGCCAUAGACAUAACUGGGCUUUGGCUAUGAAACAGGAAAUGCUGGAAAUAUGUUGUCCUUUGAUAAGCAUUAGCUAUUAAGUAAACAUGCAGUUCACUGUCCAUUUACUACUUUUAUAAUUAUUUCUACUUUGUUCAUGUAAUUUUCUUUGGAUAACCAAGACCUAUUUUAGGACUGGAAUGGACUGCUAUCAUCCGUUACUAUGAUCCCUUCAUAGCGCUGACCAUAGAAUUCAAUAGAAUUAUUCUGUUACUUAACUGAAUUUACUGAAUUAUUCUUCUAUGUAGUAGUACUUGUUACUAGUAUUAGUAAUAGUUACAAUAAUUUAAGUUUUAGUGAUGGAAGUGCACUAAAGAUUUCCUUCAGUGUAAAUAGUCGCAUUUUCUCUCUGAUAAUAUUGUACAUAUGAAGUCCUUCAAUGACACUAAGCAAAACCCAAGCAGAAAUGGGUAAAAUAAUAUUGAGAAGACAUGAAUUCCAUAUGCACUUGAGUUAGCCAAUCUUAAAAUAUAUAACAAGCUGUUACCACUAGGUGUCUCCUUUUACUUCAAAAUUUGAAAGUUAGCAUAAUCCACUUCAAUAUAGAGAGAAAUCUGAAUUAAACUGCAAUGCAUUUUCUAAGCAAAACCUGAAUUCUCCCACAGCUGAGGAUGGCCUCAAAGGCACAGAAAUAAUUUGUUCCUCAAUCCUUUGUAAUCCAAUAGCUGUUUAAUAUCCUCCCCCCUCCCCGCUUGGUAUAGCCAGCUGCACAAAUCUAUCAAAACUUGUGGAUAUUUAUUUCAACAUAUGACAAUAAACAUUUAACCACCGUGUAUGGAACAUGAAGGCUAAAAUUUUCAAAACUGCUGAAAUACUUGACUGAAUCCUGUUGUCAAAAAUUACAUAGGCAUGUAGGCCCAGGUAUUUAGGCAGCUAACUUCCAUUAGCCUCAUUAUUCAGUUAAACCAGAUUUGUGCUCUUUUAAAGUCACUUUAAAAGAAUAUACUGGAAUAUACUGAUAUAUUUGGCAUGAUGUCUUAUAUUUCCUAAAGAACCUAAGUGGUACUGAAAAUCUGUAGUUAGUCUCUUCACUUUUAAAAUACUUUUAUGCCUACAAACAUAAAUAGUCUGCUAGAAUCACAAAAAAGCAGGAAUUGAAAGGGCCUCCUGAGGUCAUCUAGUCCCAUCCUUGUCUUGCUCAGGAUAGAGAGACUCGUGUCUAAGUCAUCCCAGCCAAGUAUUUGUCUAAUUUGCAACCUAGUGGGAUUUUUAGAAAUAUUUAGGUGACCUAAUACCACAAUAUCUUUAAAAACUGGCCUCAAUAGCCUAAAACACUUCUUAAAAUGAGACAUAGGCUAAAAGCCAUGUAUGAAAAUUUUCCCCAUUCUACCAAUGUAUGUCAAUGAAAAAAUGCAGUCCCCUAACGUAUUGACAAAUUUAAAUAGUAUGACCCCUGAUUCACAAAGAUAUUUAGGCCUCUAAGUAGGAGCUAGGCUCUUUGAUACCUUUGUAAAUCUUGGCUUAUAUUCUCACAUCAAAUUUUCUUGAAUAAAUAUACACUUGAGUUGUGUAAGUCUUCGUGUUGCUAGAGGCUAUAAUGUAAAUCCUAUGAAGCAAAAUGAGAUAUUUUAAAACAAUCAUUUAGCUUCCAUAUAUAUUAUAUUUAAUAUUAUAUAUGUGAAAGCUUUAAUAAUAUAUAUUAAAAUAUAUCCAUUUUACAUAUAUGCCACUAAUAUAUACUUAAUAGAUACCUAUUAUAUAUAUAUAUACAUACAUAUAUAUAUAUAUAUAUAUAUAUAUAUAUAUAUAUAUAUAUAUAUGUCAUCUCAACAUUGUUAUGCAGAGUUUUCGUAAGACAAAGAUAUUAAAAUAGUAUAAGUAUGUAUUCCUAAUUGGAUUAUUCUUCAAUUGUUAAAAUUAUAAUGUUACAUAACCUGGUGCCCACUAGUUUUGGACUCCUUUUAUCUACAUGCAUCAGGUCUGUAUAGUCCAGUUACCCCAAAAAGCCAGAAAACCAGUCUCCAUGGCCAAAUAAGUCACUUUUAUGUCAGUGAAACUGAACAGACAGCUAGGCUUUCCUGGUGAAUAUGUCCAUAAAUAUGAAGUCCUAUUUUAAAGUUCACAAAGAAUCCAGCAUGGACCUCCAGUUCUCAGCAACGACUGGCCAGCCAUGUGCCCUCCAAGUAAGGCCUCACAUUGCUAAAACUAUUUUUUAAAAGUAUAUUACAUACUUAUUUAUGUACAUAAAUAAAAGUAUUUAUUUUUAAAGUAUAUUACAUACUAAUUACACAUUUUAUUUGCGCAUUGACACGUGAAAAUUACACUGCAAUUUGAAAGGAGACAGAUUUACUCCAUGUAAGCUGCUCUGCAGCAGUUGCCUGUGUGCCUACCCUUACUCCUCAAUAUGUGAAAGCUGAACCCUGGUUUCAUGUAAGGGAUAUAGAACCUCAAUUUAGCUUCUAUUUACUGUGAAAUGAGAGUGAGUAGGUGAGCCAUUACUGCAGAGUAGCUGACGCAUGGUAAAUUCUCACUCCCUUUUAAGUAAAUGCACUGUGUUCAUUUGUCUGUGCUCUGUGUGAGGUUCUAAUGAUCACUUUCAGUGUAUUUGAAGGGUUUAAAUAGUGGUGAUGAGAAAUAAUUAGCAAAGUAAUGGGACUAAAUUAUGAAAUUUAGAAUAUAAUUGGUUGGGUAUGAAUUACAAUAGCAUAUUAGAAAAAAUAAUCUGCCUGUGAGGUCUGUUUGAUUUUAGAGAGUGGAAGGGAAGUGAUGGAAGUCACAUUACUUAGGAAUAUAUAAGUGAUUGAACAAAGUAUUAAAUAAUACACAGUACAGAACAACCCUGCACUGGCUAAGGGAAGCUCUAGAGAUCUAUUUCCUCCCUCUAAUUUCUAUGAUUCUUUUUACAUUAUACUUUAAUCAGUACUUUUCAUAACUGUCAUAUGAACUUGCUAACUCACUAGCGUACUCCUCUAAUAUGUCAUAUAUUGUAAACAAAUCAAUCAAUUUUGCCAUGUUAUAUUUAUUUUCAUAAUGGUUAGUACGUUUAGUGUCCAUUAUCCUUUCAAAACAAAUUAGAGAAUUAAAAUAGUGAGAACAAAA